AUACGGAGGAUCCGAGCGUUAUCCGGAUUUAUUGGGUUUAAAGGGUGCGCAGGCGGGAGAUUAAGUCGGCGGUGAAAUUUUUCAGCUCAACUGUAAAAGUGCCUUCGAAACUGGUUUUCUUGAGUGUGGAUGAAGUUGGCGGAAUUUGUGGUGUAGCGGCGAAAUGCAUAGAUAUCACGAGGAACUCCGAUUGCGCAGGCAGCUUACUAAACCAUAACUGACGCUCAGGCACGAAGGCGUGGGGAUCAAACAGGAUUAGAUACCCUGGUAGUCCACGCAGUAAACGAUGAUUACUAGCUGUUUGCGAUACAAUGUAAGCGGCUGAGCGAAAGCGUUAAGUAAUCCACCUGGGGAGUACGUUCGCAAGAAUGAAACUCAAAUGAAUUGGCGGGG
rnacentral:rRNA from 1 species